UCGGUUAUUGGCCUAAGUGGUUAGAGCGUCCUCCUCUGAUGCGGGAGGUCGCAGGUUCGAUACCAAGCUGAGUCAUAACGAA